GAUGAACGCUAGCUACAGGCUUAACACAUGCAAGUCGAGGGGCAGCAUGGGGUUUGCUUGCAAACUCUGAUGGCGACCGGCGCACGGGUGAGUAACGCGUAUCCAACCUUCCCCCCAGUAGGGCAUAGCCCGGUGAAAAUCGGAUUAAUGCUCUAUGUUGUGUUUUGAGGACAUCCGACGAACACCAAAGGUUCACCGCUAUAGGAUGGGGAUGCGUCUGAUUAGCUUGUUGGCGGGGUAACGGCCCACCAAGGCGACGAUCAGUAGGGGUUCUGAGAGGAAGGUCCCCCACAUUGGUACUGAGACACGGACCAAACUCC
rnacentral:rRNA from 1 species